rnacentral:antisense_RNA from 1 species
AGAUGGUGGUGAUGAAUAAAAUAAAUGGCUCUUCUUAGGAGCCUUGAAAAUAGCUAUGGUUUCUCUGCGCUGUAAGAGCGACGUGUGGAGCACCUGGGCAGGCGUGAGGGGCGGACUUACUUUGUGGAACACAUGGGAGCAUGAAAGCAGCACCUGUUCAUGAGGAAACAGAACGACAUUGAAGUUUACAAAAGAGAAGCAGCAUGUAUCCAACAGUUAAAAUCCUGAAUGCUUAGAAGAUGGGGCAUGGCUGCACGGAGUCCCCUUGCAGGAGGGAGCGCUGUUUCACCUUCUCCCAUUCAUCUGAUGACAGUGGAGGUGGUGGAGGCCCAAUGAGGCCCAACUUCUGUGCUAAAGUAAGACAGCACAGGACAGGAGUCAGAGUGUCUUUUAGCAUAUGGCACCCACCUUUAACUUUAAUGACACCAUUUGCAAACAAAGAUUAAAGAACUACAUGUAGAUCACAUACUUUAUUUCACAAUAGAAGCUGUCCCUUGGUAUCCACAGGGAAUGUGUUCCAGGACGUACUGAGGAUGCUCAAGUCCCUGAUAGAAGAUGGAGUAUUUGCAUACAACCCAUGCAUAUCCUCCUGUAUACUGCCAAUCAUCUCGAUUACCAAUAAUUCCUAAUGCAAGUGCUAUGUAAAUAGCUGUUAUACUAUAUUGUCUUUAAUUUGUAUUAGUUUUAUUAUAUUGUUGUAUUGUUAUUUUUUAUUCAUUUAUUAAAAUUUUGAUCUGUG